CCUACGGGCGGCAGCAGUGAGGAAUAUUGGUCAAUGGACGAGAGUCUGAACCAGCCAAGUAGCGUGAAGGAUGACUGCCCUAUGGGUUGUAAACUUCUUUUAUAUGGGAAUAAAACGUUCCACGUGUGGGAUUUUGUAUGUACCAUAUGAAUAAGGAUCGGCUAACUCCGUGCCAGCAGCCGCGGUAAUACGGAGGAUCCGAGCGUUAUCCGGAUUUAUUGGGUUUAAAGGGAGCGUAGGUGGAUUGUUAAGUCAGUUGUGAAAGUUUGCGGCUCAACCGUAAAAUUGCAGUUGAAACUGGCAGUCUUGAGUACAGUAGAGGUGGGCGGAAUUCGUGGGGUAGCGGUGAAAUGCUUAGAUAUCACGAAGAACUCCGAUUGCGAAGGCAGUUCACUGGACUGCAACUGACACUGAGGCUCGAAAGUGUGGGUAUCAAACAGGAUUAGAUACCCCAGUAGUC
rnacentral:rRNA from 1 species